AGUACUUGCGCUCCCUCCUCCCAAAACACAUCCACUGUCAUCUGAUCCACGUAAUCUUCAGAAGCCUGAAUCUGGACAGGAUGCAGCAGAGUCUUCAGCAGAUGCUGAGUAUCCAACCUUGAGCUUGACGGAGAUCCAGAAUGCACGUGGUAUUAUGGAUGUCCUUGCUGAAAUGCUGAAUGCAUUAGGUCCUGAAAACAAAGAGGGACUCAGACAAGAUGUCAUUGUUGAUUUGGUGGAACAAUGCCGUACCUACAAGCAGAGAUUGGUACACCUUGUGAACUCGACUACGGACGAGUCACUGCUAUGCCAAGGACUAGCACUGAAUGAUGAUUUGCAGCGUUUAUUGGCCAAACAUGAAGUUAUUGCAUCGGGAACUUCUGCUAAAGGGAAAACAUCAAAAUCUGAACCUGCCCGAUCCCUUGUAGAUGUUGAUAGUCCUCUUAUUGAUACUGGAACCAGCAAUGAGUCAGGCCUAGGAUCUGCAUCAAGUGCUUUAGGACUUCCUGCUCCUCCAUCGGCUAAUGGUCAAUCAACAACUCCAACAGAAGUUGUCCCUAUGAUAGAUCUUCUGAGUGGAAUUGACUUUGGCUCACCAACAGCUGAGAAUGCCCUUGCGCUUGUUCCUGUUGGAGAACCUCAGCCAGCAAGUCCUUCACAGAAGAAUGCCCUUGCUAUUCUUGACAUGUUUGCACAGCCAAGCACCACACCUUCUACAAAUUCAGUUGGUCAGGCACAUCCUUCAUCCCCUCAAUUUCAGCAGCAACAGAAUUUUCAUUCUGUACAGCCAUCUUUGUACCCAAAUGGAAGUGUUCCUGGUAUGAGCUACCCUCAAGGCUCCACACCUGCCUGGAACGAACGGAUGUCGCAGCAACAACAGCCUGCUUCUCCAGUCUACGGAACUCAAAGCACUAACCCUUUUGCCCUUCCUCCGUGGGAAAUUGAGGCAGAAGACAACCAAAUAAUGAGCAGCCCUCAUGCUCAGCCUGUGCUAAAUAAUCCGGCGAUGCCAGGUAGCUCACAAGCUCUAGCACUGCACAAUAAUCAGGUGAUGCCUGGUAGUUCACAUGCUAUGUCAAUGCAAAAUAAUCAGCUUGUAGCAGCCAACGGCCAGCAACUAACUGGCGGUACAUACCUCCACGGCAUGUAUGCUUCGCCAAACACUGCUGGACAGCCUGGUAUGAUGAACAACCAGAUGGAGGGCUUGCAUCCUCAACAACAAUUCCAAGGU
rnacentral:misc_RNA from 1 species